UUUAUUUAGAGUUUGAUCCUAGCUCAGGAUGAACGCUGGCGGCGUGGAUAAGGCAUGCAAGUCGAACGGAUUUUUCAAAAUCGGAGAUGAGAUUAUAUCAAGUCAAAGGUCGUGAAAAAUUAGUGGCGAACGAGGUAGUAAUACAUAGGAACUUCCCCUCUAGUCGUGAAUAAUCCGUCGAAAGACGGACUAAUACACGAUGGUCUCGCAGAUUAAUUUUUGUGAGUAAAGUUUUAACGCUAGAGGAAAGGCCUGUGCGAUAUCAG
rnacentral:ncRNA from 1 species